rnacentral:rRNA from 1 species
UACGUAGGGUGCAAGCGUUGUCCGGAAUUAUUGGGCGUAAAGAGCGUGUAGGCGGCCAGGUAGGUCUGCUGUGAAAACUCGAGGCUCAACCUCGAGACGUCGGCGGAAACCAUCUGGCUAGAGUCCGGAAGAGGAGAGUGGAAUUCCUGGUGUAGCGGUGAAAUGACGCAGAUAUCAGGAAGAACACCCGUGGCGAAGGCGGCUCUCUGGGACGGUACUGACGCUGAGACGCGAAAGCGUGGGGAGCGAACAGG